UCCCCCGCCCAGGCUUCGUGUCGAAGCUCCUGAGUUUGGAAGGCAGGCAGGAGGGUACUGAGCGACGUGAUUUUCAAACUGCAGGCCCCACGGAAAAGUCCUACAUAGCACACGGAGCAGCACGUGGUUGCUUUGCUACAGUUGGGCCUCCUGGUUUUGGCCUCUGGAACAACCUGCGAGAAGCUUCCAAUCAUUUCUUUGUAACUGGAGGGGCACCACACCAAGAACAUAGCUGCUGGCAUCUGUUGGAAUGGCUGUUGACUUGGAAACCUCUUCAGCGUCAGUCCAUGGAGUUACUGCAAGUGACGAGGUUUCCCUAUAAGAAGCUACCUAACCUAAGAAAUCCAUCUAAACGGGUGAAUUUCUCCAAGACCAAUUGUUUUGCAUCUUUCUUGGUUAUUUUCUGAGUACUCCUAUGACUUAUUCACGUAGCAAAUAUUGUAUUUGAUUUUGCUUCUCUUCCUGUUCAUGGCUUAUAUGUGAACAGAUCACAAUUUUCUCAGAUUCAUGUGUUGAGAAUUAUUUGUAGGACUCUACCAAAUUCACGGCUAUGAAAAAAGCCUCAUGGACAGUGAAAUCUGGUCUUUUGUGUGCUCUUACCCUAUACCAGGGGUUCUCAAACUUCAUUGCACUGCAACCGCCUUC